rnacentral:rRNA from 1 species
CAGUCGCCACAGUAAUACGAAGAGGGCUAGCGUUGCUCGGAAUGACUGGGCGUAAAGGGCGCGUAGGCGGAUUGUUUAGUUAGGCGUGAAAUUCCUGAGCUUAACCUGGGGACUGCGCUUAAUACAGGCAGUCUAGAGUGAGGAAGAGGGUUGUGGAAUUCCCAGUGUAGAGGUGAAAUUCGUAGAUAUUGGGAAGAACACCAGUGGCGAAGGCGGCUCACUGGACCGACACUGACGCUGAGGCGCGAAAGCGUGGGGAGCAAACAGGAUUAGAUACCCCAGUAGUCCCUGUCUCUUAUAC